AGGACGAACGCUGGCGGCGUGCUUAACACAUGCAAGUCGAGCGGUAAGGCCCUUCGGGGUACACGAGCGGCGAACGGGUGAGUAACACGUGGGUGACCUGCCCUCAGCUCUGGGAUAAGCCUGGGAAACUGGGUCUAAUACCGGAUAUGACCACAUGUCGCAUGGUGUGUGGUGGAAAGUGCGUUCUUUGUUGAGCGUUUCGGCUGGGGAUGGGCCCGCGGCCUAUCAGCUUGUUGGUGGGUGAUGGCCUACCAAGGCGACGACGGGUA
rnacentral:rRNA from 1 species